UACUAGUUUACGCACUUUUCGGGUAGUACGCCUGGAAUUUCAAAAUGGCGUUCAAACGGCGGUUGGUCGUUGAACGCUCAGGCGCUCAGUACUGUCGAUGCCGCCAACGCGACAACAUGUAUCGCUGAUUUCCGACAUCAGCAACAUUGCUCCAGUUUGGAUCUGGCAACCGUGGUCCCCGUGGCCCGGAACCUUCGGCCUCCACCAGCACUGUUGGGGACCAGCAGACGACAUACAGGAGCAGCUCGCUAGCAACAUUCCCACCCAAAAUGCAGACGUCAAACAACAGCUCUGACCCACGGAGAGUGGAUAAGAUUGUUAGCUGAAGUGGUGUGCUUGGGUUGCGCUAUACUGCUCCUGCAUCAGCUUUGCCAACUCGAGAGUCAAUGACGAUACGAAACAAAUGCUCAGCAGCUUCAUGUUGUCCAUUUCUGCAGUUGUGAUGUCCUACCUUCAAAACCCACAGCCAAUGACACCUCCAUGGUCCAAUAUAUAAACAGUUCUAUAUUAUCGAUUGUUUUUGGUUGAAUGGAAAUGUAUAAUUGCCUCACCAUACUUGUAUUAAAAUUGUACUGCUGAAUGACAGUGACAAUUUUAGUUUUAAUAAGCUAGCUAAUGGUGCCAGGUUUGUAUUAUGAUGUGCAAUAUGGAACAGUGCCAACAUUUGAUGAUGUGCAUGAGUUACAAAAUGGCUUGGUUUGUUAAUCUUUUAAUUUGUGUAGCCUGCACUAUAUAAUUCUUGUAUUAUACUUCCCAUCCAAAAGUUUCUUGUAAGCAGCUUGUCUUUUUUUUUUUUCUUUAACAAAUGGACAAAUUUGUAUUGUCCCAUAACAUUAUCAUGUCAUUCAUGCCAGUGUAAAAGGCAAUAGCAUGAAGGUCAAAGCUUAAAAUAUCCUGGAAUAUGAAGUACCAUACGAGUUGAUCCUCGAGUGACAACCACAUUAGUACAGUAGAUAGCCUCCAUAUUAGACAUAAAAGGAAGACUUGAUCACCACGUUAGAAAUAGAAGAGUGAAAGGGAAUUGGGAGUGGAAUGGUAGGCAGUCAGUAUGGGGGAAGGGAGACUUUUGGAGUACAGUACAGUACUGUCCAUUCAGUAGAGCCAGGCUGUCACCUGAUCGGAUGACAGGCAAAGUUAUCAGUCACUAGCACUGAUUUUAUAGUUUUCUUCGAGGUGACAUCAACUGCAUAAUAUCUUUUUGAUCAUGAAAUUACAUUAACUCCAACCAGUUACUGCUGGCUAAUAAUUCUUAGACAUAAAGGAAAGAGGACAAAUCAGAAGAGCAUGUUAAGAUAGGGCUACCUGAAUAGGUUUCAGUUGUGGUUACUCCAUCAGAGGGGCGUUCAUGGGGAUAAAGACAGAUUCUACAGUAAAUUGUUAAUUCCUCUUUUAGGACUGCCUCCUCUUCCAUUUUGCUUAGUUAUGCAAAGUUGUUGUUUUAUGGUUACAAAGGAAACAUAUCAUUCCUUAAUUUCUUAUUUUAACUAUCAGAAUUUAGAAUUUCUAAAAUAUAGUUACAGGUUGUAAGUACAGUAUGUAUAACAGUUUAUACAGUACUAUACUUAGUGUAUAAAAUAUAUAUUAAUGCAGGCCAUAUGUAUUAUUGUUAAAUAUGUACUUUUGUAUUUCAUAGUAAACCUUUUACCAUAA
rnacentral:lncRNA from 1 species